UACGGAGGGUGCAAGCGUUAUCCGGAUUCACUGGGUUUAAAGGGUGCGUAGGCGGGCAGGUAAGUCCGUGGUGAAAUCUCCGAGCUUAACUCGGAAACUGCCAUGGAUACUAUUUGUCUUGAAUACUGUGAAGGUGAGCGGAAUAUGUCAUGUAGCGGUGAAAAUGCUUAGAUAUGACAUAGAACACCAAUUGCGAAGGCAGCUCACUGCGCAGUGAUUGACGCUGAGGCACGAAAGCGUGGGGAUCAAACAGG
rnacentral:rRNA from 1 species